AUGCGAUCAGCCAGCUUGAGUGGACGCACCCGCCCGCCGCCAGGGAAUCUUUGCCGGUGCUACUGUUUUUAUGCUUGCUUCUGAAGACGUGUGAACCUAAAACUGCAAAUGCCUUUAAACCAAAUAUCCUACUGAUCAUGGCGGAUGAUCUAGGCAUUGGGGAUCUCGGUUGCUAUGGGAACAAUACACUGAGAAUGCCAAAUAUUGACCAGCUUGCAGAGGAAGGUGUGAGGCUCACUCAGCACCUGGCGGCCACCCUGCUCUGCACCCCAAGCCGAGCUGCAUUCCUCAUGGGGAGACAUUCUUUCAGGUCAGGCAUGGACGCCAGCAAUGGAUACUGGGCCCUUCAGUGGAAUGCAGGCUCAGGUGGCUCCCUGAGAACGAAACCACUUUUGCAAGAAUCUUGCAGCACCGCGACUAUGCAACUGGCCUCAUAAGUAAGAUUCUUAAUGCCAUCGAAGACAAUGAUUUAAGAAACUCAACAUUCACGUAUUUCACCUCUGACCAUGGAGGACAUUUAGAGGCAAGAGAUGGACACAGGAGUUAGGGGGAUGGAACAGAAUUUACAAAGGUGGGAAGGGCAUAGGAGGAUGGGAAGAUGGGAUCCAUGUGCCCGGGAUUUUCCACUGGCCCAGGGUGCUCCUGGCUGGCUGAGUGAUUGGAGAGCCCACGAGCCUGAUGGACGUGUUCCCUCCUGUGGUCCAGCUGGCAGGCGGCAAGGUGCCCCAGGACAGGGUGAUCGACAACCGCAGCUUGGUGCCCUUGCUGCAGGGAGCUGAGGCAUGCUUAGCACAUGAGUUCCUGUUUCAUUACUGUGGGUAGCAUCUCCACACAGCACACUGGCAACUGAAGGACAGUGGAAGCAUCUGGAAGGUUCAUUACGUGAUCCCACAGUUCCACCCCAUGGGAGCAGGGGCCUGCUACAGCUGAGGCAUCUGCCCAUGCUCCAGGGAGGGCAUGACCCAUCACAGACCCCCUUUGCUCUUUGACCUCUCCACGGACCACUCUGAGGCACAGCCCCUGACCCCUGACUCCAAGCACCUGUACCACGCCAUGAUAGCAAGGGUAGGUGCCGCAGUGUCGAAGCAUUGGCAGACCCUGAGUCCUGUGCCCCAGCAGUUUUCCACAAGCAACAUCUUGUGGAAGCUGUGGCUGCAGCCGUGCUGCAGACAUUUCCCGUUCUGCUCAUGCCCAAGGAUGGGGAUGGCACCCCGA
rnacentral:lncRNA from 1 species